ACCGACGAGGGAGACUAUCAGGUGAAGCUCAAGAACCUGAUACGCUUCCUCGAAGGUGGCGACAAGGGCAAGGUCACGCUGCGUUUUCGCGGUCGUGAAAUGGCGCACCAGGAUAUCGGCCGCCGGCUGAUGGAGCGGAUCGCGUCGGAUCUCGAAGAACUGGCGACCGUCGAAUCCUUUCCCAAGAUGGAAGGGCGUCAGAUGGUCAUGAUCCUUGCCCCCAAGAAGAAGUGAUCCGCCGGCAAGUCAACGGAUGGCUGCGAUCAACGUAUCGCGGCCAUCGGCCACGGAUUUUCUAAAGAAACCGAGUGGAGUGUUCCCUCAUGCCGA
rnacentral:misc_RNA from 1 species